ACAGCACAACCAUACACCAAUCAUCAUCCAUGAGCCAUAUCAAACCUCUCACUAUUCCCUCAAAAACAUAAACACCAAAUCCCAAGAGUAAAACACACAGAACAGUCAACAGCAAUCCAUCAAUUACAAACCACAAAAUUCAGCGCCAACUACAGAGUACUUGAUGACCCCACCCACACCUCAACCAAAUUCCUCAUUAAAAGUCCAACCAUCUCUAGCAAAUAGUCAUCAUGCCAGCAUACAUCAGGCCCGGAAACUCAUGAACAGACACAUAA
rnacentral:lncRNA from 1 species